GUGGACGCCAGUCUGCAUGGAGCCGACCUUGAAAUACCACCCUUUAAUGUUUGAUGUUCUAACGUGGACCCGUAAUCCGGGUUGCGGACAGUGUCUGGUGGGUAGUUUGACUGGGGCGGUCUCCUCCUAAAGAGUAACGGAGGAGCACGAAGGUUGGCUAAUCCUGGUCGGACAUCAGGAGGUUAGUGCAAUGGCAUAAGCCAGCUUGACUGCGAGCGUGACGGCGCGAGCAGGUGCGAAAGCAGGUCAUAGUGAUCCGGUGGUUCUGAAUGGAAGGGCCAUCGCUCAACGGAUAAAAGGUACUCCGGGGAUAACAGGCUGAUACCGCCCAAGAGUUCAUAUCGACGGCGGUGUUUGGCACCUCGAUGUCGGCUCAUCACAUCCUGGGGCUGAAGUAGGUCCCAAGGGUAUGGCUGUUCGCCAUUUAAAGUGGUACGCGAGCUGGGUUUAGAACGUCGUGAGACAGUUCGGUCCCUAUCUGCCGUGGGCGCUGGAGAACUGAGGGGGGCUGCUCCUAGUACGAGAGGACCGGAGUGGACGCAUCACUGGUGUUCGGGUUGUCAUGCCAAUGGCACUGCCCGGUAGCUAAAUGCGGAAGAGAUAAGUGCUGAAAGCAUCUAAGCACGAAACUUGCCCCGAGAUGAGUUCUCCCUGAGACUUAGAGUCUCCUGAAGGAACGUUGAAGACGACGACGUUGAUAGGCCGG
rnacentral:rRNA from 1 species